rnacentral:lncRNA from 1 species
AGGAAGAGCAGCACUGAGAGCUCUGCUCAGCAGAAAGCUUAGGAGUAGCUAAAGGUUGCUCCAGCAUGGUUUAUUAUGGGGUGUAAAGGAAGAGAAGCCAACAGAAGGAUGCCUUACACUCUAAGUCCCCUGAGAAGUGCCUGUGCAAUGGCAUCUCAGCUUUAGGAGCCCCACACAUUCAUCUCCACCAGUUGUCGGUGUGGGAGACCGCAGCCUGUGGUUCUACAGCCCUUUGGAGCUCACCAGGGACCCAAAUAGCUCAGGGGAGAAAGAAAGGGCACCCCGGGUUUUUGCUGUCCACGUAGCAGCUCCGCAUUGAGCCCUGGCUGAAGGGUACCCCAUGUCCUGUUGACCAGGAUGUUUUCUCUAAAAACACUCUUGAAAUAAGGCUGUUGUUAUCCCCCUCCCAUCCUUUGCUGGGAGGAGGGUCACUCGGCAGGAACCCACCAUCACAAAGUCCCCCCCCACCUCCCCAAACGAGGGGAAACCUUCCCUGGGGAGCCAGUUUAACCUACGUACAGACAACGCGCAGUGCCUAAUGGAAGCAGCACUUAGUUUAAACUCCCCUUAAUGGGGUAGUGUUUUGGUCUUUGCCAAGUGAUUAAGCGUAUAUGAAAUAUGCAUGAAAUUUUAAUUUGUCCUCUUAAUAUGUAAGGUGCCAAAUGAAGUCCAGGAGGGGAGAACUGGCACCAAGACAUAACGGAAGCCGCCUGUAGCUCUCGUUAACGCUGCUAGCUUUGCUCACGCUAUAUAUUUAUUUUUGGUUUGCAGAAUCUCCCGAUAAACGGACACCCCAGAGGAAUGGGGUGAGAAGACAACCCCUGGAGAUGCCAUCCCACCGCGGGAGCAUGUCCCAGAACAGGACCAACAGACAGAGGUUGGUCUCCGGCCUCGGCGCUUCUCCUCACUGUUGGUGGCAGCUACAACCUGACACUCAUCAGACAGACAGCCUUAUGGACACAGGAGAGACUUCAUCUCAGGACACAGGUAGGCAGCCUCAGUGGCUACAGUUGUUUUUUUUUUUCCUUGUUGGUUGCAUUAAGACAAAUCCCCACAGGCUCCUGCCUGGCUUUCCCCCAGGAAGGGGUGGGACUGAUGGGGAGCAUUGGGGAUGUUCUCUAGCGAUGUACAGUCCCGGUGCCGAGUCCCCACAUCCCAGGUGUGAGCAGGGAUGGGCAGGCAAGAGCAGGGAGGCCAUUAUGGGCGGGUGGCAAACGAGCCACCGCCUGGGUAGCCGGCGCAGGAAGGGGAAGGCAGGGCAUGGCGGUUGCCGGAAGGGGUUCGGGGAGCGCCGCCGGCCCCGGGGGGGGUGUGUGUAAGCAGCAGUUGUUUUGCCUUGGGGAUGUUUCUCUGCUCUCAGUGCCGUCCUAGAAAGGACCCGUCACGUGUCGGUGCCUGCUUCGUUACGGUCUGUCCAUUGUAAGGCUUGCCAAGAGUCCCGUAGAGGUGAGGGCGGCGCGAGGGAACAAAACCCGCUCUGUCUCGAAGCCGACGGUCGCCGGAGUCGUGCGUUCUGUCUCUGGUGUGUUUGAGUCAGGAAAAACCCAGGCAGAAUCACAAAGGUGUAGGCUCCCGGUCUUCUCGUUUGUUGAGGAUCCCAAAAAGUG